AUUGAACGCUGGCGGCAGGCCUAACACAUGCAAGUCGAACGAGUGGCGGACGGGUGAGUAAUGUCUGGUAAACUGCCUGAUGGAGGGUGAUAACUACUGGAAACGGUAGCUAAUACCGCAUACCAUCAGAUGGGCCCAGAUGGGAUUGUUUUGGUGGUGGGGUAACGGCUGACCAAGGCGACGAUGCCUAGCUGGUCUGAGAGGCUGACCAGCCAAACUGGAACUGAGACACGGCCCAGACUCCUACGGGAGGCAGCAGUGGGGAAUAUUGCACAAUGGGCGAAAGCCUGAUGCAGCCAUGCCGCGUGUAUGAAGAAGGCUUUCGGGUUGUAAAGUACUUUCAGCGGGGAGGCGUUACCCGCAGAAGAAGCACCGGCUAACUCCGUGCCAGCAGCCGCGGUAAUUC
rnacentral:rRNA from 1 species